rnacentral:rRNA from 1 species
GACGAACGCUGGCGGCGUGCCUAACACAUGCAAGUCAACUUGAGGGAAGGAGCAAUCUGACCUGAUGGUGGCGCAAGGGUGCGUAACGCGUAAGUAACUUGCCCCAAGGUAAGGAAUAACGUCGAGAAAUCGGCGCUAAUACCUCAUAAUGCAGCGGAUCCGCAUGGAUAUGUUGUUAAAGGUUUACCGCCUUGGGAUAGGCUUGCGUCUGAUCAGCUAGUUGGUGUGGUAAUGGCACACCAAGGCUACGAUCAGUAACUGGUCUGAGAGGAUGAUCAGUCACACUGGAACUGAGACACGGUCCAGACUCCUACGGGAGGCAGCAGUGAGGAAUAUUGGGCAAUG